ACGUAGGUGGCAAGCGUUGUCCGGAUUUAUUGGGUUUAAAGGGUGCGUAGGCGGCCUAUUAAGUCAGUUCUGAAAUAUCCCGGCUUAACCGGGAGGGUGGGAUUGAUACUGAUGGGCUUGAGUGGACUCGAGGUAGGCGGAAUUGACGGUGUAGCGGUGGAAUGCAUAGAUACCAUAAAGAACACCGAUUGCGAAGGCAGCUUACUAGGCUGUAACUGACGCUGAGGCACGAAAGCGUGGGGAUCAAACAGGA
rnacentral:rRNA from 1 species